UCUCAGGUCUAAUGACCCUUAGGAAGUGAUAAAAUGUAAGUGACCCAUCAGGGAAUUAUAACGAUAUGCUGGCGGUGAUAAGUGUUAGGAAGAAAUACAGAGUGCCAAGAGAUAUACAAUAUGAGAAUCAGACCCCACGUAAGAGACCAAGAAAAACGACUCUGAGAAAUGACUUUUAAGCUGAGCAUUGAAGCAGAUGAGGAGGAAGAACACCAAAUAAAGGAAGAGAAGAAGAAAAGAAAAGAGUCUAAAAAGAAGAAAAAUUGCCCAAAGGAAGGGGAAGAGCACAAAACUGAAGCUGUUUAUGUUCAGAGAGGUCACCUAUGAUGUCACAGCC